rnacentral:rRNA from 1 species
UGCUCGUUCAGGUGGUAAGGAGUAAGGCUUGCUGCUUCGCUGACGAGUGGCGGACGGGUGAGUAAUGUCUGGGAAACUGCCUGAUGGAGGGGGAUAACUACUGGAAACGGUGGCUAAUACCGCAUAACGUCGCAAGACCAAAGAGGGGGACCUUCGGGCCUCUUGCCAUCAGAUGUGCCCAGAUGGGAUUAGCUUGUUGGUGAGGUAACGGCUCACCAAGGCGACGAUCCCUAGCUGGUCUGAGAGGAUGACCAGCCACACUGGAACUGAGACACGGUCCAGACUCCUACGGGAGGCAGCAGUGGGGAAUAUUGCACAAUGGGCGCAAGCCUGAUGCAGCCAUGCCGCGUGUAUGAAGAAGGCCUUCGGGUUGUAAAGUACUUUCAGCGGGGAGGAAGGUGUUGUGGUUAAUAACCGCAGCAAUUGACGUUACCCGCAGAAGAAGCACCGGCUAACUCCGUGCCAGCAGCCGCGGUAAUACGGAGGGUGCAAGCGUUAAUCGGAAUUACUGGGGCGUAAAGCGCACGCAGGCGGUCUGUCAAGUCGGAUGUGAAAAUCCCCGGGCUCAACCUGGGAACUGCAUUCGAAACUGGCAGGCUUGAGUCUUGUAGAGGGGGGUAGAAUUCCAGGUGUAGCGGUGAAAUGCGUAGAGAUCUGGAGGAAUACCGGUGGGCGAAGGCGCCCCCUGGACAAAGACUGACGCUCAG